AUAUUAGUUUCCAUUUCAUCUUCCUCUCUUUCUCAGAAGCAACAAAGAAACUUCUCUGAUCACAACCACCUCAAGAUCUCCCCUUCAGGGAUUCCCAGAUCUUCCUCCUCGCUCUCCCCUCCGGCGCAAACUAACCUUCCGAUCAUCUAGUCCGACCUUCCAAUAAACCGAUCCCGUUUCAAAUCAACAACUGGAUUGAUUAGAAAUGGCUUUCUCCUCCUCCUCGUGCUGAGCUUCUCUCAAUCUUCGCAUCUCUUCGACGCCUCGAUUUACCCUCACCUCUACAAGCUCUUCUUCAAACUCGUACUCAUGGCGAUUCGAAUCACCUUCACCUACUCCUCCUAUGUCGCUCGCAACCUCUCCUCCUCCUCCGCCGGAGCCAUCCGUCUCGGCUCCCGCGGAAUGUCGCUCGCAACCUCUCCUCCUCCUCCGCCGGAGCCAUCCGUCUCGGCUCCGGCGGGUUCCCCCGCCCCAGAUUCUUCUCCUCCUCCGAUCUCGACAAGUCCCCCAAGACCCGGCCCGGGUCGAUGUACACCAGCAUCGCCAGGGAAGUCAUCGGAGAAGG
rnacentral:lncRNA from 1 species